rnacentral:sRNA from 1 species
AGAUCGCUACUACUCCGCAGUUCCCGGACAUGAUCCUCUCCGCCUCUCGAGAUAAGACCAUCAUCAUGUGGAAACUGACCAGGGAUGAGACCAACUAUGGAAUUCCACAGCGUGCUCUGCGGGGUCACUCCCACUUUGUUAGUGAUGUGGUUAUCUCCUCAGAUGGCCAGUUUGCCCUCUCAGGAUCCUGGGAUGGAACCCUGCGCCUCUGGGAUCUCACAACGGGCACCACCACGAGGCGAUUUGUGGGCCAUACCAAGGAUGUGCUGAGUGUGGCCUUCUCCUCUGACAACCGGCAGAUUGUCUCUGGAUCUCGAGAUAAAACCAUCAAGCUAUGGAAUACCCUGGGUGUGUGCAAAUACACUGUCCAGGAUGAGAGCCACUCAGAGUGGGUGUCUUGUGUCCGCUUCUCACCCAACAGCAGCAACCCUAUCAUCGUCUCCUGCGGCUGGGACAAGCUGGUCAAGGUAUGGAACCUGGCUAACUGCAAGCUGAAGACCAACCACAUUGGCCACACAGGCUAUCUGAACACGGUGACUGUCUCUCCAGAUGGAUCCCUCUGUGCUUCUGGAGGCAAGGUAUUUGGGGACAAGGCGUCUCCUACUCAGUGGAAGACAGCGUCAUGGAAGGAGCACUUAGCCAGCGUCUCUAACAUAAAAUGGCAAACAUUUGCCAAGAUGGUUUUAGGAGGAUAAUGAGAUAAUGGCAAUCUGAGAAUAUGUUUCCAAAGAUUACUUUCAGCAAAUGACAGUUAAGGCAUACCAUCUGGAAGAAAAAGAUUAUUUUCUAUAUGCCUGGGUUUUUUCUGUUGUUUUGUUGUUCUUUUUUUUUUUUGAGACGGGGUUUCACUCGGCCGCCAAGGCUGGAGUGCAGUGGCGCGAUCUCGGCUCACCGCAACCAUCUCCCGGGUUCAAGCAAUUCUCCCAUCUCAGCCUCCUGAGUAGCUAGGAUUACAGACACCCGCCAUCAUUCCUGGGUAAUUUUUGUGUUUUAGUAGAGACAGGAUUUUACCAUGUUGGCCAGGCUGGUCUUGAACUCCUGACCUCAAGUGAUCCGCCCACCUCGGCUUCCCAAAGUGCUGGGAUUACAGGCGUGAGCCAUCGCACCCGGCCUAAAGUUGGUUUCUUGAAGCAAUUGAGAUUGGGAUCCUGGUUUUCAGAAAUGAUUGGAGUGAUUUAUGUAAGUUGGGAGGGGUUUUUUGAUGGGGUUGGUAAGGUCUUAUGUUAAAAGAAAGGUAUACAGAGACAAAUUGGUACUUGAGUCAUUAGCUUUCAAAGAAGCCUGGGGUAAUGGAGGAAAGGUAAGAAUUGAUUCUGACAGAAUCUUGAGAUGGGCAGGAUUAACAUCUGGAAGAGGUCACAGUGUCCUGAUUUACCUUACCUGUGUCCAGGAUGGCCAGGCCAUGUUAUGGGAUCUCAACGAAG